rnacentral:lncRNA from 1 species
CGUACCCAGACGGUUCUUGACGAGGUGGACGCAAGGCCAGGCCCGGCCCGGCCCGGCCCGGCCCGGCCACCCUCAGACGCCGCGCACCCGCCUUGUUGAGACUUGCCACCCUGUCUUGUUGUGUCCAUGUCCCCGAGGUUGUCUUGGAGGCGGGCCGUUCCCCGUGGUGCUCAUUUCUGCCUGGGGGCCUUCCGGGGACCCCGCUUGUCUUUGGGGGUGCGCA